GUGUGUGUGUAUGUAUCACAGUGUGUGUGGCAAUGCAUGAGUAUAUGUGUAUACUUUUCAGCAUUCAAACACCAACACUACAUACAAACACACUCCUGCAUUGAAAUGUUAACACUACAUACAAACACACUUCUGUGUUAAAAACACCAAAAUUAUAUAUAAACAUACACUGCAUACACAUAAAUGCAUACUUGCAUUCAAACGCCAACACCACAUAUGAACACACCCCUACAUUCACACAAACAUACUCCAUACAAAAACAUGCUUACAUUCAAACACACAAACACUGCUCAUUACAAACUAAAUACAACCCUGCAAGCUUUGGACAAUGGUGAAGCCCCAGC